rnacentral:rRNA from 1 species
AGAGUUUGAUCCUGGCUCAGGACGAACGCUGGCGGCGUGCCUAACACAUGCAAGUCGAACGGAGCAAAGCCCUUCGGGACUUUACUUAGUGGCGAACGGGUGAGUAACGCGUGAGGAACCUGCCUUCCAGUGGGGGACAACAGUUGGAAACGACUGCUAAUACCGCAUGAUGCUUUUGAGGGACAUCCCUUAAAAGCCAAAGCUUUAUGUGCUGGAAGAUGGCCUCGCGUCUGAUUAGCUAGUUGGUGGGGUAACGGCCCACCAAGGCGACGAUCAGUAGCCGGUCUGAGAGGAUGAACGGCCACAUUGGGACUGAGAUACGGCCCAGACUCCUACGGGAGGCAGCAGUGGGGAAUAUUGGGCAAUGGGCGAAAGCCUGACCCAGCAACGCCGCGUGAAGGAAGAAGGCCUUCGGGUUGUAAACUUCUUUUACCAGGGACGAAGGACGUGACGGUACCUGGAGAAAAAGCAACGGCUAACUACGUGCCAGCAGCCGCGGUAAUACGUAGGUUGCAAGCGUUGUCCGGAUUUACUGGGUGUAAAGGGCGUGUAGGCGGAGAUGCAAGUUAGGAGUGAAAUCUAUGGGCUCAACCCAUAAACUGCUUCUAAAACUGUAUCCCUUGAGUAUCGGAGAGGCAAGCGGAAUUCCUAGUGUAGCGGUGAAAUGCGUAGAUAUUAGGAGGAACACCAGUGGCGAAGGCGGCUUGCUGGACGACAACUGACGCUGAGGCGCGAAAGCGUGGGGAGCAAACAGGAUUAGAUACCCUGGUAGUCCACGCUGUAAACGAUGAAUACUAGGUGUGGGAGGACUGACCCCUUCCGUGCCGCAGUUAACACAAUAAGUAUUCCACCUGGGGAGUACGACCGCAAGGUUGAAACUCAAAGGAAUUGACGGGGGCCCGCACAAGCAGUGGAUUAUGUGGUUUAAUUCGACGCAACGCGAAGAACCUUACCAGGACUUGACAUCCAACUAACGAAGUAGAGAUACAUUAGGUGCCCUUCGGGGAAAGUUGAGACAGGUGGUGCAUGGUUGUCGUCAGCUCGUGUCGUGAGAUGUUGGGUUAAGUCCCGCAACGAGCGCAACCCCU